GACGAACGCUGGCGGCGUGCCUAAUACAUGCAAGUAGAACGCUGAAACUUGGUGCUUGCACCGUGCGGGUGAGUUGCGCACGGGUGAGUAACGCGUAUGUAACCUGCCUGGUAGCGGGGGAUAACUAUUGGAAACGAUAGCUAAUACCGCAUAAGAGUAUAUGUUGCAUGAGAGUUGCGUAAAAGGUGCAAUUGCGCCACUACCUGAUGGACCUGCGUUGUAUUGGCAAGUUGGUGGGGUACCGGCUCACCAAGGCGACGAUGCAUAGCCGACCUGAGAGGGUGAUCGGCCACACUGGGAGUGUGACACGGCACAGACGGCUACGGGAGGCAGCAGUAGGGAAUCUGCGGGAAUGGGCGGAAGUCUGACCGAGCAACGCCGCGUGCGUGAAGAAGGAUGUCGGAUCGUAGAGCUCUGUUGUAAGGGAAGAAAGAGUGUGAGAGUGGAAAGUACACACUGUGACGGUAUCUUAUCAGAAAGGGACGGCUAACUACGUG
rnacentral:rRNA from 1 species